rnacentral:rRNA from 1 species
AGAGUUUGAUCCUGGCUCAGGAUGAACGCUGGCGGCGUGCUUAAUACAUGCAAGUCGAACGGAGAAUUAGCAAUAGUUCUUAGUGGCGAACGGGUGAGUAACGCGUUGGUGACCUGCCCCGAAGAGGGGGAUAACAGUCCGAAAGGAUUGCUAAUACCCCAUGUGGUCAUUUGGAUUAGAUGCCUUAUGACUAAACGGAUUUAUUCGCUUCGGGAGGGGCCUGCGUCCCAUCAGCUAGUUGGUAAGGUAAUGGCUUACCAAGGCUAUGACGGGUAGGGGACCUGAGAGGGUGGCCCCCCACAAUGGAACUGAAACACGGUCCAUACACCUACGGGUGGCAGCAGUAGGGAAUAUUGGUAAUCUGGGAAACCGGGAACCAGCAACGCCGCGUGCGCGAUGAGGGCCUUCGGGUUGUAAAGCGCUUUUUAAAGGGAUGAGGAAGGACAGUACCUUUAGAAUAAGCCUCGGCUAACUACGUGCCAGCAGCCGCGGUAAUACGGAGGAUGCGAGCGUUAUUCGGAUUUAUUGGGUUUAAAGGGUGCGUAGGCGGGUCAAUAAGUCAGUGGUGAAAUCCUGCAGCUUAACUGUAGAAUUGCCAUUGAUACUGUUGGUCUUGAGUAUGGUCAAGGCAGGCGGAAUGUGUAAUGUAGCGGUGAAAUGCUUAGGUAUGACACAGAACACCGAUCGCGAAGGCAGCUCACUAAACUGUAACUGACGCUGAGGCACGAAAGCGUGGGGAUCAAACAGGAUUAGAUACCCUGGUAGUCCACGCUGUAAACGAUGAUCACUCGAUGUGUGCGAUAUACUGUACGCGUCUGAGCGAAAGCAUUAAGUGAUCCACCUGGGGAGUACGGUCGCAAGAUUGAAACUCAAAGGAAUUGACGG